GCCGGGCAUGGUGGUGCGCACCUGUAGUCCCAGCUACUCAGGAGGCUGAGGUGGGAGGAUCACUUGAGUCCAGGAGUUCUGGGCUGCAGUGCACUAUGCCGAUCGGGUGUCCGCACUAAGUUCGGCAUCAAUAUGGUGACCUCCCGGGAGUGGGGGACCACCAGGUUGCCUAAGGAGGGGUGAACCGGCCCAGGUCGGAAACAGAGCUGGUCAAAACUCCCGUGCUGAUCAGUAGUGGGAUCACCCCUGUGAAUAGCCACUGUACUCCAGCCUGGGCAAUAUAGUGAGACCCCUUUUCU
rnacentral:SRP_RNA from 1 species